ACUUAUCAACACAGAGAAGAAAGAAAUCAGUGAAAACAAGGAAAAGAGAGACCGAGAGAGAGCGAGACGCAUAGGGAAUAGGGGAAGGGGGAAGCAGCGUCCGUGGGUAACACAGGAAGCGUCGCUGCUAUUGCUGUCAUAUAGGAGAGUGUGGGAGAAGUGGAGAGCAAGAGUGAGAAGGGUGGUGCGCUGUUGGAGCCACAUCACCGCCGUUCCUCACUGUCACCGCCGUGUUUCACCGCCGUCGUUAAACUUCCAUCGCCGUCGCCACUGUCCAACCCGCCGUCAGGGAGAGGCACUUCCAUCAAACCCUAGCCAUCACUAUCGCCUUUGCACGCAAAGAAGGGGCUGGUGCCACUGUUGCCACUAUUGCCGUCGAUUUGGAGUUGCCAUAGACACAAUUGUUUCUACUUCUAGUGCUCAUUCUUCUAACUGUUGGAGUUGCUGUGGAAUGGAGCCACUGGCGGGGUGUUGCUGCUGCCAGAACCACCGGGAAGGAUUGCUGGGAAUCACUGCUGCCCUGUUUUCGUUCUAAUUAGGUUCAACAUCCAUUGGCUUGGAGCUGUUUCUGCCUUUCGAUUCCAUCGAAUUCGAAAUCUUCAUUUCAUUGCAACCAUGGUCAUUGUUGUGGAAGCUAAUGCUACUGCUGUCCCGGUUGUGUUGAGAUGUAGUGCUGCUGCUUUCUGGGCAGAAACGGUUGCGUGACUAGUAGAGGUCCAGCCAGCUGCCUCGCAGCAAUUCUGCCAACGGUCUCUUGUAAUUGCGACAUCGAGUGACACAGGUUUGAAGACGCGAUUUGAAGCUGCGAGCGAUUAGUAGGUUUUUUCUUUAUUGUUUUAAUUGGUCGGGUAGAGUCCCCUCGCUGAUUGUCCCUUGAGAUUUUAUUUCAUAUAGAUGGGUAGGUUUGGUAUAUUGUAUUUGAGUUUCAUUUGGUUUCUUUUGUACAAGAAUUAUUAUCAAUAAUAUUUAUGUGAUUAUUGUUUGAUGGAGACCUUUGAUAUAUGUCUUU